GACGAACGCUGGCGGCGUGCUUAACACAUGCAAGUCGAACGGAAAGGCCUGUCCUUCCUUGUGUUGGACGGGUACUCGAGUGGCGAACGGGUGAGUAACACGUGAGUGAUCUGCCCCCAACUUGGGUAUAAGCCUGGGAAACUGGGUCUAAUUCCCGAUAGGACUGCAGGGUGGUGCCUGUGGUGGAAAACGAUUUUCUAGUGGUUGGGGAUGAGCUCGCGGCCUAUCAGCUUGUUGGUGGGGUAAUGGCCUACCAAGGCGGCGACGGGUAGCCGGCCUGGGAGGGUGGACGGCCCCAUUGGGACUGGGAUCCGGCCCCGACUCCUACGGGAGGCAGCAGUGGGGAAUAUUGCACAAUGGGCGGAAGCCUGAUGCAGCGACGCCGCGUGGGGGAUGACGGCCUUCGGGUUGUAAACUCCUUUCGACCGCGAGGAAGCCGCCUGGUUGGAAGGGUGGUGACGGUAGUGGUAGAAGAAGCACCGGCUAACUACGUG
rnacentral:rRNA from 1 species